CCUACGGGUGGCAGCAGUGAGGAAUAUUGGUCAAUGGGCGCGAGCCUGAACCAGCCAAGUAGCGUGAAGGAUGACUGCCCUACGGGUUGUAAACUUCUUUUAUAAAGGAAUAAAGUGAGGCACGUGUGCCUUUUUGUAUGUACUUUAUGAAUAAGGAUCGGCUAACUCCGUGAAAGCAGCCGCGGGAAUACGGAGGAUACGAGCGUUAUCCGGAUUUAUUGGGUUUAAAGGGAGCGUAGAUGGGUUGUUAAGUCAGUUGUGAAAGUUUGCGGCUCAACCGUAAAAUUGCAAUUGAUACUGGAAGUCUUGAGUACAGUUGAGGUAGUCGGAAUUCGUGGUGUAGCGGUGAAAUGCUUAGAUAUCACGAAGAACUCCGAUUGCGAAGGCAGCUUACUAAACUGCCACUGACAUUGAUGCUCGAAAGUGUGGGUAUCAAACAGGAUGAGAUACCCGAGUAGUC
rnacentral:rRNA from 1 species